rnacentral:rRNA from 1 species
UACGGAGGGGGCUAGCGUUGUUCGGAAUUACUGGGCGUAAAGCGCGCGUAGGCGGCUUUGUAAGUUAGAGGUGAAAGCCCAGGGCCUAACCCUGGAAUUGCCUUUAAGACUGCAUCGCUAGAAUCGUGGAGAGGUGAGUGGAAUUCCGAGUGUAGAGGUGAAAUUCGUAGAUAUUCGGAAGAACACCAGUGGCGAAGGCGACUCACUGGACACGUAUUGACGCUGAGGUGCGAAAGCGUGGGGAGCAAACAGG